rnacentral:lncRNA from 1 species
GUGAUGGAUGGAUGGUUUCUUAUUUUUUAAAGUUUUUAAAGUUUUCUUCAAAUUUAAGGCCUUGAAAAAUGGAAUAAAUAUUUUCAGGAACAUUGGGCUACUCCUAUGUGAAUUUCUUUUUCUUAGUUCUGUGUUUCAUAAAAGAAAAUAAAGGACAAAUAUACUUGACUUGAACUGAAUCAAAGCAAAAUGUUUUGGGUGAAGACUGGUAAACGAAUGGAAGUACUUGCUUAUGUAACCAAAUCUGAUUUCUCUUAAUCUUUUAACUCAGGUUAAUUUCUUUUCACAUUUUGUAAUACGAGCUGAAAGGUUUCAUUAGAAAAACAGCUGUGUGAAACAUCACUGCAGUUCUGAAAGUAAACAUUUCAUGUCAAAAUAUUUCUGCACUGCAGCUUUAUUCCUUCUUCAAGACUUCUUGGCCCAAAAACCUUUCACCAAACUCAACCCACAAUCAGAGUCACUGUGAGUGAGUUCACCAAUACUCUCUUUUCAGUAUAUUUGCCACUGAUUAAUACAGAUGUGUACCCCAUCCCUGUUUCCACCAUAUCGUAUUCGGUCUUAUCCUGGGAGGCUUUUUCUCCACAUUGGCUAGCAUUAAUUCCCUAGCAGGUGUUAGAAACCCUUUUUCCAGUGCUCAAACCUCACACCAAGCCCACAUUGUUUCCCCACUAAGCAUUCAGCAUAGUGCUUGUUGUGAUUAACACUGUUUGCUGCGUGCAUUUCCCAGGGCACUAAUUGAUACAAAUGGAAAUCCUCAACAAAUGUACAACCACAGAAAAGCAGAAAAUGCAGCUCAUACAUUUCUUUUGCAUAGGAGCAAAGUUGUGUUUGAAGAGAUAGCUGGCUGUUGAGGCAGGAAGUGGAUCUCCGUCACCACCAGGGCACUGGCAGGCAUGUCUUGAACAUCAUUUUCAUUCCUUCUGAUGUUUCUUUUCAAAGGGAAUACUUCUCUCUGGGCAUUGUAGUUUAUUUACUGUGUCUUAACUGCCUUCUUUUUAAUGCUUAUUGGUCCAUGCUCACUUUACUUGAAUUAAAAAACAAAUCUUGUUUAGAUCUUUUUUUCUCUUUUUAGUAAGCUCUGAACUAGAAUGGACAACCCUAUGUGGUUGUAUUUUGGUGGUUUUCUCUUUUUGCAAACUACUGAUGGGAAAGCAGUUAAGAGCAUAUUUCUGGAGGCUACAGAACUCUUUUCAAGAGAAGAUUCCUUUCUUCUUUAUGGGAAAAAAAACAAAACCAAAGAAGAAACUAGAAAAAGCAGAUAAGAAAGAAAUGAUCCUCUUUCUUGCUAAGCCAAACACAUACAGACAAAUACUGCAAUAUGUCUGACAUCUUUCAAAGAUUUCUGCGAUUACAAAAAGAAUCUUGCAAAAAGAGUUUGCAGAGUUGGUGUCCUUUCCAAAUGUACUGAAUCCUCUCUGUUAGAGCUCCCUAUCUGAAGGACAAAGCAGCUACAUGUUGAGAUGCAAGCUCAGUCACCAGCCUCUCAUUUCCAUAUCUGACAGUGACAAUACCUUAUUCUACUCUCCCUGAUACAUUGAUAAAUAGUUGAGAUAAACAGAAUUAUAUUCUGGAGAGUCACUGCCUGACAAAAAAACACUGUGUUUGGAUCCCAAACCACUCCCUACUUAAAUCCUUUUUCCCCUUUUAAUUUAUCUGUAUCCUCAAGCCUUGAAAUUUUAAUUAAAUAGCUCAGGUCUACAGGAGGGGAAGGUAGAUAUUUAAAGAAGCAUUGUUCUGACUUAGUAACUGGAAACAGUGAAUGACAUAUUUACUGAAAAAUCAAGCUUUUUAUUUUUGUCCAUUGCUAGUAUGAAUUAAUACCUUUAGCUCUGGACACUUCAGAAAAAAUAAGGUAUGACACGUUACAUGAGCAUCACAUCUCUCUUGUCAAAGACCAGCAGUUUGAGCUGGGGUAGCUAUGCAGGUUUCUGUCCUCCUGGCCAAGUGUCUCCCCAAAGUCCUCCUUAGUGUGCUGGGCAUAGCAGUCACUUUGUGGGGAGGGAGGAUGCUCACAAUGCUCAUCUAGCACAAGUUAUCCAUCUGAUGGGGAAAAAAUUUCAGUCUCUGCAGAGCAGAAUCCAUUCAGGCUCACAAAUCGAUAUUUGAGUCACUGAAAGAGAAAAAUAUCACACUAAAUUAUAGCUUGACAUCGACAUUUUUUUUUUCUCUCCCUCCCACUAGUUUGCUUGUUCCUCAGCACAAGGUCUAGGUAGAAUUCAGUCAUUCAGUGGGUGCCAGGCAGGAGCAGUGUACCCACUCAUCCAUUCAUGGCUUCACAGUUCCCUGUGAAAACAUCUCCUUUUCAAAGCAUAUGUUCCCCAGACAAGGCUGCCCUUCUCAUGCAGCACAUCAAGUUCAUCUGCUUGCCAAUCUUCAGAAAAUAUUCCUAUGCAGAGCAAUGUGCCACACCUCACACAGAUGCUAAAACAAUAGCUUUGUAUCUUGGGGACACCCUAAACUUCACAGGUGUGCAAUUAAUAAGUAUACAGAUGUUAUACAGUAGACAGAAAAGUUAGGCUGGUAAGAUUACUGCAUUGGAAAAGAUAAUCAGAAAGGUGCUCACCAGUGCUGUAGGCUUACAAAAACCCCAUAAGGAGCAAUAUCCAGGAAGAGACCCUUUCUGGGUGGCAGUCAGCCCUUAAAUGGGGUCUAGGAGAGGUGGAGCCUGGCUCCACCCAUCUGGUCACACAGGUGGAUUGCCUUCACCUGUGCUCCCACAGCUGACUCGGUGCUUGCUUCAGGUGGUCAAUCAGUGGUUCAGGUCAUGAUUCAGCAGUUCCCAAACAACAGGACGUCAGGUCAAAAACCUUCAUUGAGAUCAAUACUCAUGUCUUACAGAAAAGGAAUACAGAAUGGGAAGCAGAAAUGAACGUCAUGAAAGAAAUUCUGGAGUUGUUCCGAGUUGGUUGCACAUUUUCAUAGUUACAUCAAUAAACGCUGUUGCUACUAUACCUUGCUUUACUGGAAUAGGGAAAUGCAGAUUCACGUACACACAUAAAUGUAUAACUUUGUGUAUUCAUGAUACGUGGAAUUUUUCUGCAGCACUCUGAGAUAACUAAAAAAAUGUGACGAGUAGGAAACUAUUCCCAAAUUAUUCCCUGUUACUCACUGAGCUCCCUGCACACGUUCAGCCAAGAAAGAAGCUAUGUUUUUCUCUGCCAGCUCAAAAAGGCUAGAGCUUUCAGAGCACUGGAAGAUGAGAACUGGCAUAUAAGACAUGUGAUUUCUCACCCCUAAAAUGCUGUUGCUGCUACUAAAUUGGUUACUCAUAAGAUUGAAAUAGAGGGUUUUGACAGGUCUACCUUCUUACAUAGCUUUCUGCUUUUCUGGAGAUGGAAGCAUAAGCAGACUUAAUCUGCAUUUGUUACAAAGGAAAGCAUUUAUUCUUGUCAGAAAAAUCAGAGAAAAGGAGACCUGAAGAAAUAUUAAAGUUAUAAAAAAGGUUUGAUCAACUGGAAUGAGAUAAACUCUUCAAUCUGAUGAGAACUCUGGAAAAACAAGAGACUCAGUCUAAAAACUCGGAAAUUAAGAGUGAAAGGGGAAUUCAGGCACAGCUAUUUCAAUCAAAAAGUAAUAAGCAUGUGGAAUAAAUUAUUGCUAGGUGAAGCUAUUGAAGCAAAUAACAGGAAUGAAUUUAAAAGACAGCUAGACAUCUUUAUGGAGAGAGCAGAAACUUCACAUUUUUCCUACUUAAAUGCUUUGGGUUUGAUCCAGUAGAGGACUUAGGUGUAUGAAGAGGGACUUAGGAUGACUUUAACUGCUUGAAUCCAGAAAUACAUUCAAAGGAGAAAAAAACACCACUGACUACUGUGGAUGCUAGAAGCGUGCAUGUUACUUAGCCCCCAGAAAACACAGUUGGAGAUGCAGCUUAACAUUAACACUGUGAGAGAGGUAGUACUAGUCUGUGCUUUGAUACAGAGAUUGAAUAACAACAUCAGGGGAAGUGCAGGGCCUUCAUACUGCUGGUCAGGGGACUGAAAUCUCCCAUGUAACAAAAGGGGUGAGUCCCCUUCCGGGGGAGGUAUUUAUGCAGAAGGGCAUUUCUGACUCAGAAAUCAGAGAUAAAAAAUGGGUCAGAGGUUGUAUGAGUACAUUCUGCUGGCUGGGAAGACUGGGAAGAUCCCAAGAUCAUGUUGCCCUUUCACUAGGCUGUUGCUGUUGAGUGUAUCACGCUGACUUUUUAUUAGUAGUGAAUCUCUGUGAUGGCUACAAAAUUGUUAUUGCUAUUCUGGGUCUCUUCUACCAUGGCUGAUAAAAGACUUUUAUUGGACUGUCAGGUCUUAGGAAAUACUCAUUUCUGUUGUUGCUGAGCAGUUUGAGCCUUCCAGGGCAGGGCACCACAGGAGGACUGCGAGGCGAUGAGGUUGCCUGUCUGGAAGGCAUGAGUCAGCUGGGCAGUGGAGACCUCCACAUCAUCAAUACAUGCUGGGCUCUGACUAACAUUUACAAGGGCCAAAGAGAGGCUGCAGGCUCAAUAUCAGAAACUUCUGGGACGCUUAAAGCUGUCCACAAGAUGUCCCCUUGCCUCUCCCCCUCUUUCCACCCACCUAAAUUACAAUCACAUGUUAUCAGAGUGACUCUGACCCAGCUACAGAGAAAACCCAUUUUGUUUUUCAUUGAGGCUGAGUCACACAGCACGAGGCUGCUGGGGUGGAUGUUCCUUGGGGUGCUGCCUGCCAGGGAGAUGCUGUGAGCUGCCUGCAGGAACCAGAGGCUUGGGGACUCUGGGAUGGAGAGGGUGGCUUGGCUGUGGCUUAGAAGUAGGCUUGGAGAUGGGAAACAAAAGGUUUCGGUUGUUGAGAUACAAAGUGACUGGUCUUGCAAAGCAGGUGGGCAAGCAUUCCUGCCAAACUCCAAACACUGUGGACUGCUAUUUAUUUUUAAAGUAAGAAGCAAGUUGCAAUUUAGAGGAAUGGUGAGAAAUGAUUACCUGUUAUUCUCCUAUAUCUACAUUUCUGUUGAAGCACAGCAAGUGGUUGCUCAUGUGAAGGUCAUCGGCAAAACUCUUCCUACCUAAUCCUGGCUCUCAGGAUGGUUGGGCUUUGACCUUGAGCACAUCUCUUAACCUCAAAGGAAUCGCUUGCAGAUUCAUUAGCUGGUCCUGGCGGAGUGCUUUGAAGAUGAAAAGGGCUUUAUAAGUGGCAAAUACUAUUACGUGUUCUGGGACCUGGAAAUUUUCAAUGUUUGUGUAUAUAAUCAUUUUUACAGAGGAUUUUCUACAUAAAAGAAACCGUAAAUUUUGCUGGAAACUGCAGGAUUGCAGAUAAGAACUAUGUUUUCCAACUGAAAGGAUUUUUCAUUCAAAUCUUUCUCUUUCUUCCCAUAAAGCCUUUACAACACGGUCCAGGGACAACCGCUUUGCUCAGCUGCUUGUCUCUGGGUGUGUUUUAGGGGGACUGUUUGCACAAGGUUAAGAGUGAGAGAGUAAGAGUGGCCCUAGUGGGGGCAGUGCUCCUGAGCUCCAGCCACGGGUUGGAUGGGCUGUGCUGUUCCCACGGUGUGAGGUGCGGAGACCUUGUGCAAGAGGAAAGCAGAUCUGCAAUCAGUAAAGCUGCUGACAGCAGAAAUUAAAGCAAACAAAAGCAUGGAAAUGCUGACUACAAAGAGGUGGUUUGCUCCAUAGGCUUCAAAGCAAGAUUGUGUAUUAGUGUCAUAUUAGAAUUUCUCCUUUGAAUCAGCUUUCAAAGAAGGCAGCUGUGCAGAGUCCGAGUCCUGUACGAUAAGAUUUUUAUACGUUUAUGAACAGGAUAAGUUGGCAUGAUGCCUUUGACAUGAUGGGACUGAACGUCAGUUCAGGAGGUCUCUCACUUGCACAGUUCCUGUCUUGACAUGCUCAACUGAAUCUGUGCUACCACUAUUGACAGCAGCAGCAUGAAGCUUGCUUGCUGAUGAAAGGGAGUAACUAUCCUUAAGGUGCCAGCUAUUUGGGGUGUCCCAGUCCUGCAGAGAGCUGCCAGGUGCGUGGUAUUGAUCACCUAUCUGAGCCCAUGCCACGCUAAGAAGGACGACUGCAGUGCUCUUGGAGGCAGAACUUCCUCACGCAAAAUUUAAAGAUCUGUCAGAGACAAGCCUACUUCUUGACCAUGCUGUUAUUGAAUUUAUAUUAGUGUUGAUACAGCAUGCAUGACAGACACAGGCUGUGGAUGCCCAGUGGACAUGAGCUUGUAGCUGACAAAGCAAUCACAUUCAAGCAUGUUAUCCCCUUAAUCUGGAUGAAAUUGGCUGCCUCAAAUCCUAUAGUCUCCAUUUAAUCAAAUUGCUUAUUGAAAUCAAUGAAGAUUCUGACUGAG